UCCCGGCUAGCUCAGUCGGUAGAGCGACAGACUCUUAAUAAGUCUUGGUGAACCAUUCAUCAUCUGUAGGUCGAGGGUUCGAGCCCCUCGUUGGGAG